ensembl:lncRNA
AGCGCCGCCUUCAGGACUGUUUUUAUAUUCCCAACUUCACUGAAAGGGGAUCCUGUGUGUAUUGGUACCAUAAUUACUGAAUGAGUAAUUACGUGUUUUAAUAAAUAUUUAUCUCGAACUGAUGUAUAGGCAGAAAAAAAUAUCAAUUUUUAGAGUAUAACAUCGUCUCUGUUGCACUGCACCUGCGCAGAUGACCGCAGAUCUCUUAAGUCAUAAGAAACCUGGCAGUGCAGGUGAUCAGCUCUGUGAGGUUAUUAAAGGUACGCGGACAGAGUCGCGUUAAAUCAGUUAAGUCGCUCUGCCGCUCUGGGCUGCAUGGUGCGGAGCUCUGACUGUAUAAACGAUGGACGACGCGACAGCACUUUCUCCCAUGGUGCAAAAAUGAAGCCAAAAUAUUCCCCUCGUGGAAGCUGCCAUAUUGCGCUUUUGGAGCCAGAGUGCGGAGGAGUGACUUGAGGUGGAGCGACUGCGUCACGCUCCCACCCACACACCCGCUGGACGUGACCGCAAAAGUCCACAUAAUUAUUACCAGCUACACCCACCAUGGGAGAAACUGGUGAGAGAGACCAUCAGGACCAAGCUGGGUUUCCUGGGUCUAGAGGUUUGGAGAAAUCCAGAUGUUCUGUUGACCCACUGAGAGAGGCAUCAUUUCAGAAACAUCAGAAAAAAUGAAGUUCAUCGCAGGGAUCAAGGAGGACCUCAUGAUCUUCACCACCAGCUCCCUUGCAGAGAAAUCUUCAGAACUCCACUGUAGGCCCACUCCAGAAGAGACCUUUGGUUUGUUUAAUGUUAUAAAUACUUGGACUGAACUCUUACAUAAAGAUAUUAUAUUCAGUCUUGUAGAAAUAAAUAUAUAUAUAUAUUAUCCUCUCUGGUCACUGGUAUGAAUGACUCUGAAUUAUUUUGUGGUAAAUAACACACUAUUGGCAAAAAAAACACAGUGAAAGAAUUCCAGAUCACUAGUUUUUAGUCAUAUGGUUUUAUUUAAUUGUGUCAGAGAAAAUCUCAUGUGCUCUUCCUGUGUCUGAGUGCAUUCAGUGUUUAAAAUAGAACCUCUGCAGGUCUCAGAUCAGCAGCUUUCUGAAACACCAAACUGCUGAUAUGUAGUGACACACACGGUUACAUGGGUGAUUAAUCCUUUUGACUUUUUGUCUUUAACUUUAUCAAUAAAACAGCUGCAGCUUUCACUGACAGCACAUGUGGUACUUUAACCUUUGUACUGUUUUUUUUUAUCAGUUAAUUCUGGAGUUAACAUGAACAUGUUGGAUAUCUGUCUGCUUUCACUGGGUGGUACAGAGGUCUGAGUCUGAGGGGAGCUCCUGUAAUCACGAAGAGAACAGAAUCAUCACAAACUGAAAUAUAAAGUUUAUCUCUCAAAUAUGAAAUAAAGCUGAUCCUUCUUGGUCCUCACAGAGUUCUACUCUUGCAUUCUUUCAGUUCUACAGUUCUGCUGACAUACGAGCUGCUUAUUAAAAAAGGCCAAAGCCUUAUAUACCAUACAUACUAUAUAAACAACAUAUAUAAACAGAUUUUCCAAUAUAAUAUUUACCUUUGAG